rnacentral:rRNA from 1 species
UACGGGGGGGGGCAAGCGUUGUUCGGAAUUACUGGGCGUAAAGGGCGCGUAGGCGGCCAUUCAAGUGACGGGUGAAAUCCCUCGGCUUAACCGAGGAACUGCCUGUCAGACUGGGCGGCUUGAGACCGGGAGAGGUGAGUGGAAUUCCCAGUGUAGCGGUGAAAUGCGUAGAUAUCAGGAGGAACACCGGUGGUGUAGACGGCUCUCUGGACCGUAACUGACGCUGAGGCACGAAAGCGUGGGUAGCAAACAGG